UAACCCGACAAGCAUAUUAUCGGGGGCCGUCCCUAACGAUGGUGAGCAAGCCCAGCCCGUACUGGGAAGCCUAAAGUCGUAAUCAUGGUCACCCACUUUUUUGCAAUGGGGUUA
rnacentral:sRNA from 1 species